rnacentral:rRNA from 1 species
CUAAUACCGCAUAAGCGCACGGUAUCGCAUGAUACAGUGUGAAAAACUCCGGUGGUAUAAGAUGGACCCGCGUCUGAUUAGCUUGUUGGUGAGGUAACGGCCCACCAAGGCGACGAUCAGUAGCCGGCCUGAGAGGGUGAACGGCCACAUUGGGACUGAGACACGGCCCAAACUCCUACGGGAGGCAGCAGUGGGGAAUAUUGCACAAUGGGGGAAACCCUGAUGCAGCGACGCCGCGUGAGUGAUGAAGUAUUUCGGUAUGUAAAACUCUAUCAGCAGGGAAGAUAAUGACGGUACCUGACUAAGAAGCACCGGCUAAAUACGUGCCAGCAGCCGCGGUAAUACGUAUGGUGCAAGCGUUAUCCGGAUUUACUGGGUGUAAAGGGUGCGUAGGUGGUAUGGCAAGUCAGAAGUGAAAGGCUGGGGCUCAACCCCGGGACUGCUUUUGAAACUGUCAAACUAGAGUACAGGAGAGGAAAGCGGAAUUCCUAGUGUAGCGGUGAAAUGCGUAGAUAUUAGGAGGAACACCAGUGGCGAAGGCGGCUUUCUGGACUGAAACUGACACUGAGGCACGAAAGCGUGGGUAGCAAACAGGAUUAGAUACCCUGGUAGUCCACACCGUAAAC